rnacentral:rRNA from 1 species
GUCUAUGGCCAUGCCACCCUGAACAAGCCCGAUGUCUGAUCUCGGAAGCUAAGCAGGCUUGGGCCUGGUUAGUACUUGGAUGGGAGACCACCUAUGAAAACCAGGUGCUGUAUGGA